UACAGAGGUCUCAAGCGUUGUUCGGAUUCAUUGGGCGUAAAGGGUGCGUAGGUGGCGGGGCAAGUUUGGUGUGAAAUCCCGGGGCUCAACCCCGGAACUGCACUGAAUACUGCCUUGCUAGAGCACUGGAGAGGGAACUGGAAUUUACGGUGUAGCAGUGAAAUGCGUAGAUAUCGUAAGGAAGACCAGUGGCGAAGGCGAGUUCCUGGACAGUUGCUGACACUGAGGCACAAAGGCUAGGGGAGCAAACAGG
rnacentral:rRNA from 1 species